UACGUAGGGUGCAAGCGUUGUCCGGAAUUUAUUGGGCGUAAAGAGCUCGUAGGCGGUUUGUUGCGUCGGCUGUGAAAUCCCGAGGCUCAACCUCGGGUCUGCAGUCGAUACGAGCAAACUAGAGUGUUGCAGGGAGACUGGAAUUCCUGGUGAUAGCGGUGAAAUACGCAGAUAUCAGGAGGAACACCGGUGGCGAAGGCGGGUCUCUGGGCAACAA
rnacentral:rRNA from 1 species